CAGGCACACACCGCCAGGCCCAGUACGCGUCUCCACCCUUGUGGGUGUGGCUACACGCGCAGGGACUCCGUCACGCAGACCCGCACUCACGCGGCCGCGAGUCCAGGCACUGGUCGUUCAAACACAAGCGCACAUGGGCACGCUGCGCUCCCCUUCCAGGCCGGCUGCCACGUGGCCCUGACGCUUGCGGCCAGCACGCUCAUGCCCCUUCUGACAUGUGAGGAAAGAGGGCUGUGUAAGGCCCGCACUCCUUAGGGAGUUUCCAACGCCCCUGGUCGCCUUUCCAGGAGAUGCAGGCUAGGAGUUUUCCAAUUAGGGAACGGAACCCUGAGUGACGCAGUGGCAGCAGGGGGUCAUUAGGCACGGAGCCCAGGCAGUACUGGCGAGGAGGAGGAAUGAACUGGGGGCGGCCCGGAUGGGUGGGCCGGAGGCACUGCAGCGAAACACAGCAAGCCAGCAAGCUUUUUGCGGAUGGCUUUGUGACAUCCGCAUAGUGCUGAUCCCGGCCUUGGCCUCAGCCUGUGGCCCUGGGCAGCAGUGGCUUCUUCGCUCCCCUCCCGGGAGAGUGACGAGCACCCAGGCCAUGGCAGGAACCCUCCACCACACGCCCUUUGAGCCGGGAUGGGUGGACAGAAGAUGCUAACGAGACCUGCUCACUCUCUCUGCAUCCAGUGCCGUCCCCACUCUGACCACACCUUGCCUCUUUCAACAGUCACCUUUGUUUCCCCUCCAGAUCCACCAUCCAGCCUUUUCUACCCUGAUCACCACCCAGGGGACUGAUCCAUGUGUUCCACAUCAAUGGCCACCAUGCUGACUGUCUUCCACUUCCCUUAUUGGCAGGUCAACAGGGAAGACCAAAGGAGGUGCCAGUUAGGUGUCUUGAGGUGUAGGUAGCUUCUCAUUUGACAAAUCGGAGGCUGAAACAUCAGGACUCUCAUCUGGAUAGGAUGAAGCAGCCCUGGGAGAUGCUGGGUUGGGGGGCUGUAACCUGCAGCGGGGUGAAGCCUCACAAUGCCUCGCUCUGUGUGUGAACUGAGCACACUGGAUGUAUGCAGGUGUUGUUGAAAGUACACAUGGAAUACAAGAGCAGGUGCUGCAGCCAAAGAGGCGGACAUCAGCAUUGCCUCCCAGGGUCCCUGAUGAAAACCCCCAGUUUCCAUGUAGGGCCUCCCGGGGGGCUGGGAAGCUGACUCAAACUCCAACUCCAGGUGGGAGCCUGUGUGUGACACAAGGCAGGUUAGUGAUGGUUCAGGACCCAAGUCACAAUGACUAGUUCUCAAGGAGCGUGUGAUCCAAGUGAAACCACUAAAAGUGACUCUUGGGGACAAAGCACUCAGGAAGAGGUAAUUACAGAGGCCAACUGCGUGCCACGGACUGUUCUAGACAAUUGUAAUGAACAGCAGAGACAUGGUCCUCACCCUCCAAAAACCCACAUUCUUCAAGGAAACACAGUAUGCAGAUGUGAGGCCAGGAAGGAAGGAUGUCAGCGGAAGAGGACAAGGCCGGCACACCAGGAGCUCAGAACACCAAGAGCCAAUGAAAAAUGGAGCCUGGGGCCUGUUCAAGCUGUUCCUGUAGUCCACCUUACUCCCCAACUUUCCAAAUACAUGAACCGACACACGUCCUCUAUCAUU